rnacentral:rRNA from 1 species
GACGAACGCUGGCGGCGUGCUUAACACAUGCAAGUCGAGCGAGAAAGCUCCUUCGGGAGCGAGUACAGCGGCGAACGGGUGAGUAACACGUGGGCAACCUGCCCAAGGGAGCGGGACAACCCGGGGAAACCCGGGCUAAUACCGAAUAACGCGUCAUGCCAUAAGGCGUGACGCCAAAAGGUAGCUGCGGCCUCCGCCCUUGGAUGGGCCCGCGGCGCAUGAGCUUGUUGGUGGGGUAACGGCCUACCAAGGCGACGACGCGUAGCUGGUCUGAGAGGACGAUCAGCCACACUGGGACUGAGACACGGGCCAGACUCCUACGGGAGGCAGCAGUGGGGAAUCUUGCGCAAUGGGCGAAAGCCUGACGCAGCAACGCCGCGUGGGGGAAGAAGGCUUUCGGGUUGUAAACCUCUUUCAGGAGGGACGAAGCUUCCGGGGUUAAUAGCCUACGGGGUGACGGUACCUCCAGAAGAAGCCCCGGCUAACUACGUGCCAGCAGCCGCAGUAAGAC